CGGCGGACGGGUGAGUAACACGUGGGCAACCUGCCUAUAAGACUGGGAUAACUUCGGGAAACCGGAGCUAAUACCGGAUACGUUCUUUUCUCGCAUGAGAGAAGAUGGAAAGACGGUUUACGCUGUCACUUAUAGAUGGGCCCGCGGCGCAUUAGCUAGUUGGUGAGGUAAUGGCUCACCAAGGCGACGAUGCGUAGCCGACCUGAGAGGGUGAUCGGCCACACUGGGACUGAGACACGGCCCAGACUCCUACGGGAGGCAGCAGUAGGGAAUCUUCCGCAAUGGACGAAAGUCUGACGGAGCAACGCCGCGUGAACGAAGAAGGCCUUCGGGUCGUAAAGUUCUGUUGUUAGGGAAGAACAAGUACCAGAGUAACUGCUGGUACCUUGACGGUACCUAACCAGAAAGCCACGGCUAACUACGUGCCAGCAGCCGCGGUAAUACGUAGGUGGCAAGCGUUGUCCGGAAUUAUUGGGCGUAAAGCGCGCGCAGGUGGUUCCUUAAGUCUGAUGUGAAAGCCCACGGCUCAACCGUGGAGGGUCAUUGGAAACUGGGGAACUUGAGUGCAGAAGAGGAAAGUGGAAUUCCAAGUGUAGCGGUGAAAUGCGUAGAGAUUUGGAGGAACACCAGUGGCGAAGGCGACUUUCUGGUCUGUAACUGACACUGAGGCGCGAAAGCGUGGGGAGCAAAGAGGAUUAGAUACCCUGGUAGUCCACGCC
rnacentral:rRNA from 2 species